GGUGUUGUAUCUGAAGCUCUUUGGUUCUAUUUGUUUAACAAAUAUUAAUUGAGGACUUUCUAUGUGCCAAGCCCUGUUCUAGGCAUAGGAGACACAGCACUCACUUAGAAGACACAAUUUCAUGGGACUUUCAUUCUAUUUACUGCGUGUGGAGAAACAUCUCAGACUGACCUAGACAGAAGAGGACACGUGCAAGCUUAUAUGACUGAGACAACAAAGGGUACUCUUCAGGCAUGCUGGGAACCAGGAGCUAAGGGAAGUCUUCCACUUUUUUCUCUUAGGGUCUCUCAGUUCUGUUUCUCUCUUUUUUUUUUCUUUUCUUUCCUUCAUCAUCAGGCAGGCUAUUCCUGUGCAGUGACAAAAUGGAUGCCAGCAGCUCCAGGCUUAUGUUAACAAGCUGAGAGAGAGUCUUCCUUGCUGAAUGGGUCCAGCAAAAACCCCAAACUUAAUUCUCAUUGGCUGGAUUUGGUCACAUGGGCAUAUCCCUGAUCACAUGACUAAGGCCAGGAGACUGAGACAUUCUGAUUGGCUGGGCCUGGGGCACACACUCAGUCCUGCCCCAGCAAAUGGGGUCAUCACCAGGAGAACCAUAGGGAUUGAGAAUAGUCGUUUCUCAAGGAGCUCUCAUAAUCCUGGAGGAAAUCUGCCUCAUGCUGGAGUGGGCAGGAAGGGAAGAGCGCAGGAAAGGAAGAGCACAGGAAGGAGGGAGGCAGACGCUGCUGGGAGUUCCUGCUUCUCCAGUCUUGAGACUAAGACCCAGUUUCAGGCCUAUCAAUUAGUGUCAAGGGGAAAGGCUUCCUUGCAAUGAGGAGUGGGCACAUGUUCCAGUUCUGUCCAAAGAGAACUAAGCAGAGGUCUCUGGAGGAGACCUGUGUAAAAGCACUGCUGUUCUAAAAGAAGGGGACAGCAUGGCUGGGCCCUGUCCUUCCUACUUCCUGCCUGAAGUGUGGAUAUACUCUCUGGAGCCCACCCACGUAUCUGCUUUCAGAGCCAUCUCCUGCCAAGAAACGGAAAAACAGAGGGUCAAGAGUUCAGUCUGGAUAGGCUAACUGGGGUCCAAGAGCAGGGGAAGGUCCACCCUGGGCACCUGUCCAGAGGAUGGGCUGCUUCUCACCUAGACCAGAGGAACCACUUGUCACCUGGGCUGGACUGAGGAAGGGUUGUCCUCUCCCAAGAACUUGUUGGAUAACUCCUGUCUGCUGGCUCCAACACUCAAUCUGGAGGGCUGGAAGAUGAACGGUCUCUACUAUGGAAUCCUGGUGGCCAACUCUUCACCGUGUCUUCUGGGUUUCCCUUUGUAUCCAGCUCCUCCUAUUGUAACUGAAAGAUAGUUGAUAAUCAAAAUAAUCUUGGAUGGUUGGAUGGAUUGAUAAGAGAGGGAUGGAUGGAUGGAUGGACAGACGAAUGGAAAAUACAGUUAUUAAGAGGCUAUCUUCCAUACACAUUAGCUGACAGAAACCCCGUGAGGUCACAGGCUAGGUGUUAUUAUGCCCAUUUAACAGAGAAGAAAGCCAAGGUUCUGUAAAGUUAAUUGACUUUCCCAAGGUCACAAGACUUGGAGGAGGUGAAGCUGGGACCCAAAUCAACACUGCUUCAAAACCCUGGGCACAGGCCCCUCCUGCCUCACCUCCCUGGACAUCACCUCCAGUCCAUACUAGGCCCAAUAUAUAGGGACAGAGGCAAAGAACCUGCCAUCAUCUCAGCACAUCACGAAAGGAACUUUCAUGAUACGGGUCUGGAAAGCUGCCAGGAGCAGCCUCUCAUCCACAUCCCCCAGUUCUGCUGUUGGGACCGCCAAGAACACGUCACUUCCUUAACAGGUUCUCAGUACGUAUUUGUAGAAUGAAUGAGUUGCCUUGUAUUGGUACAAAUUCCUCAAGAAAAAGUCAUAGGCUACAAAAUCCCGGAAAAGCAGGUAAGAGUGACAUGUUUCUUAGCUUUGCAAGAGACGGCAGUGUGCAUUCUAGUGGCCAAAUGAGCCUCCUGACAUGGUAUACAGCCCAUGAUACUCAUCACCACCAUCAUCAAAGAUCAGUUACCGUGCACGCUUGCUGCAUGCCACUCACUAUGCCAGGCAUGCUAUGUGAAUGGUCUCAUUUAAACUUCACAACCAACCCAGUGAUCUGGAUAGUACUGCUAUCUUCAUUUUAUGGUUGAGGAAUUGAAGGUUGAGAGGUUAAGUAACUUGAUCAGAGCCACACAGCCAGGGGUAUCAGAGUCAGGUAUAAACCCAGGGUUUAUUUGUUUAUUUGUUUUUGUUUUUGUUUUGUUUUUGCCUCCAAUAAGAGAGGAGGUGGCAGGGAAGACUUGUGUGGGAUGGCUCGUGGGGGACAAAUGCCCCCUCUGUAAUCUGUGUGGAGGGUGGUCCAGUCUGAGAGCUGACAGGGGAAGAGAGAGGUGCUGCCCAGGGAAGCAGGAGUGGGUGGGGACAUCUCCUUUGGGCAGGCCUUUCCUUGUCCCGUGCCAGGCUCAGCCCCAGCGUGCUCACCCAGCAGCCCUGGCUGUUUGUGUGUUUUGGGGGGUGGGGUAGGAGCAGUAGAUUAGGAGGGGCAGGGCUAGGCUGACUGGGUUGUGAUUCCCAUGGAGACGUUGGUGAUUCAUUGCCCCUUCCAGCCAGUGGGGCCUCUGUCAGGAUGUGACUUGUAUGAAACAGGUCACAAGAUGCCAUCCAGGAAAGACGGAAAUGGGGAGGGGAGGGUGGGGUCUCAUCCUGAGCCUGGGCACCCUGGGCUCCGUAAAGCGCCUACCUGAGGCCCAUCUCCACGCCACAGUGAAAAACCUUUCUUUGCCUGGGGUGAAGCACAUUGGAAAGGGUCAAUGCUGAACCCUUCUGAAGUCUUUUUCCUGGAAGGUUCCAGGACCUCCGUUGCCCUGGCCCAGAGGUGCCGUGACUCUAGCCUGGGUGGUGAGUCCUGGUGCUCAGAGAAUACCUCUUCCAGGAUUUCUGAGAGGUAUGCAUAGAUAAGUCAACCUAAGGAGUUUAGAAGAGCUGGGCUGGGAAAAAGAAAAAGCGAAAUCAACCUGCACACCAUUAAUUGGCACGUACUCUAAGUCCAGCAGGACCCAAUGGCUGACUUGGAACAGGUGCUCAAUAAAGGUGUGUUGCCCGACUGAGUAACUGAAAGGGCUCAUAACUCCAGGCCAGAGGAGAAAACAGAGGAGGUACAUCCCAGGCUUCAAAGAAUCCAAACCUCACUCACAGUAAUAACACAAUUCACAGAACAAUCAACUGUUAAAUUGCGAGACUCUCCCUAGGUGCUCUAGGAAAUUUAAAUGAGGGCUGGGACCUUAGGAAGACUUCCUGGAGGAGGUGGACUCAAGUUGGCUGAGUGGGGAGACUGGAGGUAGGUCGGAGUGUGAAGAGGGUUCAAGGUGAACAUAGUGAGGAAUGAGGCGAUCGUGUGAUCCUCUGGAGUGGGAAGGCUUUUAAAGAUCCUGCCUGAGGCCCAUAGGCCUGUGCCACGGUUACAGGGCUUGGUUGUGGAGGUCUACCACGUUUUGGAAACUCAGUAAGGACAGGUAUGUCCACUAUUGUCCCAUUUCAUGGGUGAAGAAACUGAAGAUCUAACAGGCUCAGUAAAUUACCUGAAGCCACAUGGAUGCAAAGGGGAAGAAAAACUCGACCUGCGCUCUUCCACCUGUGGGCCAUUAGCCGCAUGCGCCUGUUGGGAGCUUGAAAUUAUCCAGUCCCAACUGAGCUGAGCUGUAUGUGUAAACAACACACCAGAUUUCAGACUUAGUAAGAAACAAACAAAACAUACAUAAAACAUCUAAUUUGUAGCUCUUUUUAGUACUUGUUACAUGUUGAAAUAUUUUAGAUAUAUUGGAUGAAAUAAAAUAUUAUUAAAAUUACAGUUAACCUUUGAACAACACGGUUUGAAUUGAGAGCGUCAUUUAUAC
rnacentral:lncRNA from 1 species